rnacentral:rRNA from 1 species
AGUGAACGCUGGCGGUAGGCCUAACACAUGCAAGUCGAACGGCAGCACAGUAAGAGCUUGCUCUUACGGGUGGCGAGUGGCGGACGGGUGAGGAAUACAUCGGAAUCUACUUUUUCGUGGGGGAUAACGUAGGGAAACUUACGCUAAUACCGCAUACGACCUACGGGUGAAAGCAGGGGAUCUUCGGACCUUGCGCGAUUGAAUGAGCCGAUGUCGGAUUAGCCAGUUGGGGGGGUAAAGGCCCACCAAGGCGACGAACCGUAGCUGGUCUGAGAGGAUGAUCGCCCAAACGGGAACUGGAAAACGGUCCGAACUCCUACGGGAGGAACAAGUGGGGAAUAUUGGACAAGGGGGGAAAGCCGGAUCCGGCCCGACCGGGGGGGGGAAAAAGGCCUUCGGGUUGUAAAGCCCGUUUGUUGGGAAAAAAAAGCGGGAGGGUGAAAACCCGCCGUUCUGACGGUACCCAAAGAAAAAGGAACGGCUAACUUCGUG